AUUGAACGCUGGCGGCAGGCCUAACACAUGCAAGUCGAGCGAGCGGCGGACGGGUGAGUAAUGUAUGGGGAUCUGCCCGAUCGAGGGGGAUAACUACUGGAACCGGUGGCUAAUACCGCUUACUAUCAGAUGAAGCCAUAGGGGAUUAGCUAGUCGGUGGGUGAAAGGCUCACCUAGGCGACGAUCUCUAGCUGGUCUGAGAGGAUGAUCAGCCACACUGGGACUGAGACACGGCCCAGAACCCUACGGGAGGCAGCAGUGGGGAAGAUUGGACAAUGGGCGCAAGCCUGAAGCAGCCAUGCCGCGGGGAUGAAGAAGGCCUUAGGGUUGUAAAGCACUUUCAGCGGGGAGGCGUUACCCGAAGAAGAAGCACCGGCUAACUCCGUGCCAGCAGCCGCGUAAUAC
rnacentral:rRNA from 1 species